rnacentral:lncRNA from 1 species
GUGUCCCUAUCAGCACGCCUGGACCAGCUCAGAACAACGGCCCCCACCAAUGUCUCAGUCUCCGGAGAGGACCCUCCUCUCACCAAGAUGCCCCCAGAGCCCACCAGUUUGUGAGCACUUGGAGGAGAAGAGAAACACAGAGCCCGUGUUUAUUCAUCUCUGUAACCCCGACAUCAGACAGCAUAAAUGCUCCAUGUGUGUUAAAACUGGGAGUAGUCGUGCAGCUUUUGGGGCUCUCCUGGUGUUUGCAGGACAAAGUUUGGCACUCUGAUUUCCUAGAUUGUAUGAUCACCGUAAAAGAGCAGACAAAGCAUAUACUUAUUGGCCCUGUUGUCAUCACUGAACCAAAAUCCACAUGGGAGAAGAUAAAUUUCCUCAGAGCUCAGAAAAGGUCAAACAGAAGCCACUGGCAAAAAGAAGAACCGAAGGACUCCAGUCCUUUGAAAGCCAGCUGAACGGUCAUCGUCCCCUCCAACUUUUAUUAGGAUGGAGUUGUGUAACCCACAGGAUAUUGUGAAACAACCAUGUGUGACUUCUGAGGCUAAAUCAUAAAAACAAUGUGGCUUCCUGCUUGCUCUCUUCGAUGCCUGACUUUUAGGGAAAGCAUGCCACUACGCCAUGAGAAUACUCAAGCAGCCCAUGGAGAAGCCUAGAGGGGAUCAUGUGAAGCCUUUUGUCAACAAAUAGCAGUAGGUGAGUGAGUCAUCUUGGAAAAGAUCCUAAGCCCCAUGCAAGCCUUUAGGUGACUGUGGCCCUGGACGACCUCUGGACUAUAACCUCAUGAGAGACCCUGAGACAGAAUCACCCAGCUAACUGCUCCCAAGUUCCUGGCCUAUGGAGACUGGGAAGUCAUACAUGUUUAUCGUUACUUUGACCUGCUAUGAUUACAGUAAUUUGUUGUACAGCAAUAGAUACCUAAGACAAAGUCAACCGGUUAUUGUUCUUUCAAAGCCAUGCUUCCAGUGGUUAUUUUUUUCAUACUAAGCACUUUGAUGUUCACAUAUUAAUAAGUUGUUUCAAAAUAACUUGCUCUGUCAUGGUCCUCUGUUUACACGAUAUAAACAUUGUUGAAACAUCUCACUAUGACAAUGAGUUUGCAGUUUCAGUAUGCCAGAUAAUGGAAAUGAAAGUGUUUAGGUUAAAUAUCUAACUGUAACACAAGUAGCUUUCCUUUAGGCAUAUUAAAACUUUUAUUAAAAAGAUACAAAAGAUUUAAACAUUGUUGAGUUAGAAUGACUACAGCAAAUUAUUGAAGUUAUAUUUUUAGUAAAUACUCCCAAAGAUUUUUCUAAUUCUCAUUUUUUCAAAUUGAUUAAGCUAAAACCUUUAAAUUAUCCAUGGCUCUGCCUUACCAGAAGCCUUGAUUUCUAUAAAUUAUUUGUAUAAUGAACAAUAGUUGCCAUUUUUCGAGCACAUACCAGGGGUGAAGAUUGUUCUAAGCUCUUUAUAUACACUCUCUCAUUCAAUUAGAAUUAGAAGAGCUAGACCUACAAAACGAAGGCAAUCACCAGUAAGAGGUGUUAUCCAGAGACUAGAACUGAAAAAAGGAGAAAUAUAAAAUGACAUUAUUUAUAUUUUCCUUAUUUUUGAUGGUUCUUUGAGAGCAUUCAUACUGCUUCAUAGAUAUCUUUUAAAAAUUUUAUAUUUCAUUUUUCUUAAUUGUUACACUUGAAAACAUUUUGUUAUUUAGCUGUAAGUCCAUUAAAUUUAAGACACAUUUCACUUUAAUAAGUAAUUUGUCAUUACAAUUUAAAAAAUUAUCUUUACAAUGUUAAUAAGUUUCAAUAUACAGUGAAAGCUUAAGUUUUGUUUUUUUUUAGCAUAGUAGAUAGUAUAUCUGGAGUUUGGUAAUUAAUGCUAGGCUAGUGAGUGAAAAACUUCAUUAUGAAAAUAAAAGAAUCAUAAAAGAUGAAUCUACCUCCUAAA